rnacentral:rRNA from 1 species
AGAGCGAACGCUGGCGGCAGGCCUAACACAUGCAAGUCGAGCGCCCCGCAAGGGGAGCGGCAGACGGGAGAGUAACACGUGGGAACGUACCCUUUGGUUCGGAACAACACAGGGAAACUUGUGCUAAUACCGGAUAAGCCCUUACGGGGAAAGAUUUAUUGCCAAAGGAUCGGCCCGCGUCUGAUUAGCUUGUUGGUGAGGUAACGGCUCACCAAGGCUACGAUCAGUAGCUGGUCUGAGAGGAUGAUCAGCCUCACUGGGACUGAGACACGGCCCAGACUCCUACGGGAGGCAGCAGUGGGGAAUAUUGGACAAUGGGCGCAAGCCUGAUCCAGCCAUGCCGCGUGGAUGAUGAAGGCCCUAGGGUUGUAAAGUCUUUCGACGGGAAGAUAAUGACGGUACCCGUAGAAGAAGCCCCGGCUAACUUCGUGCCAGCAGCCGC